rnacentral:rRNA from 1 species
UACGAAGGGGGCUAGCGUUGCUCGGAAUUACUGGGCGUAAAGGGUGCGUAGGCGGGCUUUUAAGUCAGGGGUGAAAUCCUGGAGCUCAACUCCAGAACUGCCUUUGAUACUGAAGAUCUUGAGUUCGGGAGAGGUGAGUGGAACUGCGAGUGUAGAGGUGAAAUUCGUAGAUAUUCGCAAGAGCACCAGUGGCGAAGGCGGCUCACUGGCCCGAUACUGACGCUGAGGCACGAAAGCGUGGGGAGCAAACAGG